rnacentral:rRNA from 1 species
GAUGAACGCUAGCGGGAGGCCUAACACAUGCAAGCCGAGCGGUAUUGUUUCUUCGGAAAUGAGAGAGCGGCGUACGGGUGCGUAACACGUGUGCAACCUGCCUUUAUCUGGGGGAUAGCCUUUCGAAAGGAAGAUUAAUACUCCAUAAUAUAUUGAACGGCAUCGUUUAAUAUUGAAAGCUCCGGCGGAUAGAGAUGGGCACGCGCAAGAUUAGCUAGUUGGUGAGGUAACGGCUCACCAAGGCGAUGAUCUUUAGGGGGCCUGAGAGGGUGAUCCCCCACACUGGUACUAAGACACGGACCAGACUCCUACGGGAGGCAGCAGUGAGGAAUAUUGGUCAAUGGGUGCAAGCCUGAACCAGCCAUCCCGCGUGAAGGACGACUGCCCUACGGGUUGUAAACUUCUUUUGUAUAGGGAUAAACCUACCCUCGUGAGGGUAGCUGAAGGUACUAUACGAAUAAGCACCGGCUAACUCCGUGCCAGCAGCCGCAGUAACAC